CCUACGGGAGGCAGCAGUGGGGAAUAUUGGACAAUGGGGGGAACCCUGAUCCAGCCAUGCCGCGUGUGUGAAGAAGGCCCUCGGGUUGUAAAGCACUUUCAGUGAGGAAGAACGCCUGGUGGUUAAUACCCAUCAGGAAAGACAUCACUCACAGAAGAAGCACCGGCUAACUCCGUGCCAGCAGCCGCGGUAAUACGGAGGGUGCGAGCGUUAAUCGGAAUUACUGGGCGUAAAGCGCGCGUAGGUGGCUUGAUAAGCCGGUUGUGAAAGCCCCGGGCUCAACCUGGGAACGGCAUCCGGAACUGUCAAGCUAGAGUGCAGGAGAGGAAGGUAGAAUUCCCGGUGUAGCGGUGAAAUGCGUAGAGAUCGGGAGGAAUAACAGUGGCGAAGGCGGCCUUCUGGACUGACACUGACACUGAGGUGCGAAAGCGUGGGUAGCAAACAGGAUUAGAUACCCGAGUAGUC
rnacentral:rRNA from 1 species